rnacentral:rRNA from 1 species
AGGUUAGAGCCCAAGAAGCCCAGCCAGUAAACCUCCUUCCAUCCUGGCUCGUCUCCUCGUUCCCCUUUGUUGUCUAGGGUCGCCGCCCGCCGCCGCCGCCGCCGGCCAAGCUACCCUUUACCAAGUCCCGCACCGCCACACCCAAACUUUAGUAAGCGACCGACAAACAGGCAUGUCGACGGAGAGGAUCCGGUGGGGCAGUGAAUCAGCGAUGCAGCCAUCUAUGUAUGAUUCAAGAAACAAAAAUAUUACGUAUAUCUGCUAAUCUUUGGUGUUUAUUUAUAAUUUCGUAGCCCCGAGUUGCUAUCUGUGUGCUACAUCCGACCAACUAUCGUCAUGUUAUUCGGGAUUUGAAGAACUACGUCCUUGAGGGAGACUUUCCAGGACGAAAUCAAGCAAACCUGCAGGUGGAGCAAUACCAAGACCCUCCUUGUGAUGCUGGAUUCAGGAAUGGUCAACAUGUUGAUCACACCACUAUUCCAGCUUCUAACAGUGAGAGGGACAUUCUGGGAGCAAAUCAAGCAGACCAGAUGGCAGUGCAACACGAGGGACAUUAUUUAGUUCACAAUGUUGCUCGAUUCGGGAAUGCUACCCUGUUCAAUUACACCGCUAAUCCAGUCUCUAACAGUGAGACAAGUUAUGGCCAGCCAUCAAUUCGUUCCUCCCAGGAAGCCCCACCACCACAGGCAUUUUUGGAUGGUCUUUGUCAGUUUCUAUUUUCAGAAGAGCCUGAUGGACAACAUUCUCAUGCUGACGAAAUGGCAAUCUUUAACGUCUUCUACAAUUUACUUUGACUGGGAAUAGGAACAUGUAGGCUAUUACACCAGUCCAGGAUUCCAUGGAAACCAGACGUUAUGCCGAGACCUGAGGCCAUUGAUGCGUACAAGAUGUUGCGGGUUGUAUUUUGAAUCAUAAUAAUUUGGAUAGUUUUUGUCCCAUUUCUGGAACAAUUUUAUCCUUCGGCGUCAUCAUUUCCCAAUGAGCUUUUAGACAGCGAUAUGACAUAUAUGAGUAGCUAUGCAUAUCUUUAUGUCAUUGCAUUUUUGUAUUAGGACAU